rnacentral:rRNA from 1 species
CGGCAUCAUUUGACGUUAGCAACAGAAGAAGCCACCGGCUAACUCCGUGCCAGCAGCCGACGGUAAGUACGGGAGGGUGCGAGUACGUUAAGUACGGUAAUUACGUGGGACGUAAAGCGCAUGCGAGGUUGGUUUAGUUAAGUCAGAUGUAGAAACGGCCCCGGGGCUACCAACCCGUACGGAACUGCUAUUUAGAAACGUGGCAGACUAGAGUACUGUAGAGGGGGUAGAAUUUCAGGUGUAGCGGUGAAAUGCGUAGAGAUCUGAAGGAAUACCGGUGGCGAAGGCGGCCCCCUGGACAGAUACUGACACUCAGAUGCGAAAGCGUGGGAGCAAACAGGAUUAGAUACCCUGGUAG